AUUGAACGCUGGCGGCAGGCCUAACACAUGCAAGUCGAACGGCAGCACAGAAGAGCUUGCUCUUUGGGUGGCGAGUGGCGGACGGGUGAGUAAUGUCUGGGAAACUGCCCGAUGGAGGGGGAUAACUACUGGAAACGGUAGCUAAUACCGCAUAACGUCGCAAGACCAAAGUGGGGGACCUUCGGGCCUCACACCAUCGGAUGUGCCCAGAUGGGAUUAGCUAGUAGGUGGGGUAAUGGCUCACCUAGGCGACGAUCCCUAGCAGGUCUGAGAGGAUGACCAGCCACACUGGAACUGAGACACGGUCCAGACUCCUACGGGAGGCAGCAGUGGGGAAUAUUGCACAAUGGGCGCAAGCCUGAUGCAGCCAUGCCGCGUGUAUGAAGAAGGCCUUCGGGUUGUAAAGUACUUUCAGCGGGGAGGAAGGCGGUGAGGUUAAUAACCUUGCCGAUUGACGUUACCCGCAGAAGAAGCACCGGCUAACUCCGUGCCAGCCGCCGCAGUAA
rnacentral:rRNA from 1 species